rnacentral:rRNA from 1 species
GACGAACGCUGGCGGCGUGCUUAACACAUGCAAGUCGAACGGAAAGGCUCUGCUUUUGUGGGGUGUUCGAGUGGCGAACGGGUGAGUAACACGUGAGUAACCUGCCCUUGACUUUGGGAUAACUUCAGGAAACUGGGGCUAAUACCGGAUAGGAGCUCCUGCUGCAUGGUGGUGGUUGGAAAGUUUCGGCGGUUGGGGAUGGACUCGCGGCUUAUCAGCUUGUUGGUGGGGUAGUGGCUUACCAAGGCUUUGACGGGUAGCCGGCCUGAGAGGGUGACCGGGGACAUUGGGACUGAGAGACGGCCCAGACUCCUACGGGAGGCAGAAGUGGGGAAUAUUGCACAAAGGGCGGAAGACUGAGACAGAAACGCCGCGUGCGGGAUGACGGCCUUCGGGGUGAGAACCGCUUUCGCCUGUGACGAAGCGUGAGUGACGGUAAUGGGUAAAGAAGCACCGGCUAACUACGUG